UUAAGCGACUAAGCGUACACGGUGGAUGCCCUGGCAGUCAGAGGCGAUGAAGGACGUGCUAAUCUGCGAUAAGCGUCGGUAAGGUGAUAUGAACCGUUAUAACCGGCGAUUUCCGAAUGGGGAAACCCAGUGUGAUUCGUCACACUAUCAUUAACUGAAUCCAUAGGUUAAUGAGGCGAACCGGGGGAACUGAAACAUCUAAGUACCCCGAGGAAAAGAAAUCAACCGAGAUUCCCCCAGUAGCGGCGAGCGAACGGGGAGCAGCCCAGAGCCUGAAUCAGUGUGUGUGUUAGUGGAAGCGUCUGGAAAGGCGCGCGAUACAGGGUGACAGCCCCGUACACAAAAAUGCACAUGCUGUGAGCUCGAUGAGUAGGGCGGGACACGUGGUAUCCUGUCUGAAUAUGGGGGGACCAUCCUCCAAGGCUAAAUACUCCUGACUGACCGAUAGUGAACCAGUACCGUGAGGGAAAGGCGAAAAGAACCCCGGCGAGGGGAGUGAAAAAGAACCUGAAACCGUGUACGUACAAGCAGUGGGAGCCUCUUUAUGGGGUGACUGCGUACCUUUUGUAUAAUGGGUCAGCGACUUAUAUUCUGUAGCAAGGUUAACCGAAUAGGGGAGCCGAAGGGAAACCGAGUCUUAACUGGGCGUUAAGUUGCAGGGUAUAGACCCGAAACCCGGUGAUCUAGCCAUGGGCAGGUUGAAGGUUGGGUAACACUAACUGGAGGACCGAACCGACUAAUGUUGAAAAAUUAGCGGAUGACUUGUGGCUGGGGGUGAAAGGCCAAUCAAACCGGGAGAUAGCUGGUUCUCCCCGAAAGCUAUUUAGGUAGCGCCUCGUGAACUCAUCUCCGGGGGUAGAGCACUGUUUCGGCAAGGGGGUCAUCCCGACUUACCAACCCGAUGCAAACUGCGAAUACCGGAGAAUGUUAUCACGGGAGACACACGGCGGGUGCUAACGUCCGUCGUGAAGAGGGAAACAACCCAGACCGCCAGCUAAGGUCCCAAAGUCAUGGUUAAGUGGGAAACGAUGUGGGAAGGCCCAGACAGCCAGGAUGUUGGCUUAGAAGCAGCCAUCAUUUAAAGAAAGCGUAAUAGCUCACUGGUCGAGUCGGCCUGCGCGGAAGAUGUAACGGGGCUAAACCAUGCACCGAAGCUGCGGCAGCGACGCUGAUGCGUUGUUGGGUAGGGGAGCGUUCUGUAAGCCUGUGAAGGUGUGCUGUGAGGCAUGCUGGAGGUAUCAGAAGUGCGAAUGCUGACAUAAGUAACGAUAAAGCGGGUGAAAAGCCCGCUCGCCGGAAGACCAAGGGUUCCUGUCCAACGUUAAUCGGGGCAGGGUGAGUCGACCCCUAAGGCGAGGCCGAAAGGCGUAGUCGAUGGGAAACAGGUUAAUAUUCCUGUACUUGGUGUUACUGCGAAGGGGGGACGGAGAAGGCUAUGUUGGCCGGGCGACGGUUGUCCCGGUUUAAGCGUGUAGGCUGGUUUUCCAGGCAAAUCCGGAAAAUCAAGGCUGAGGCGUGAUGACGAGGCACUACGGUGCUGAAGCAACAAAUGCCCUGCUUCCAGGAAAAGCCUCUAAGCAUCAGGUAACAUCAAAUCGUACCCCAAACCGACACAGGUGGUCAGGUAGAGAAUACCAAGGCGCUUGAGAGAACUCGGGUGAAGGAACUAGGCAAAAUGGUGCCGUAACUUCGGGAGAAGGCACGCUGAUAUGUAGGUGAAGUCCCUCGCGGAUGGAGCUGAAAUCAGUCGAAGAUACCAGCUGGCUGCAACUGUUUAUUAAAAACACAGCACUGUGCAAACACGAAAGUGGACGUAUACGGUGUGACGCCUGCCCGGUGCCGGAAGGUUAAUUGAUGGGGUCAGCGCAAGCGAAGCUCUUGAUCGAAGCCCCGGUAAACGGCGGCCGUAACUAUAACGGUCCUAAGGUAGCGAAAUUCCUUGUCGGGUAAGUUCCGACCUGCACGAAUGGCGUAAUGAUGGCCAGGCUGUCUCCACCCGAGACUCAGUGAAAUUGAACUCGCUGUGAAGAUGCAGUGUACCCGCGGCAAGACGGAAAGACCCCGUGAACCUUUACUAUAGCUUGACACUGAACAUUGAGCCUUGAUGUGUAGGAUAGGUGGGAGGCUUAGAAGUGUGGACGCCAGUCUGCAUGGAGCCGACCUUGAAAUACCACCCUUUAAUGUUUGAUGUUCUAACGUUGACCCGUAAUCCGGGUUGCGGACAGUGUCUGGUGGGUAGUUUGACUGGGGCGGUCUCCUCCUAAAGAGUAACGGAGGAGCACGAAGGUUGGCUAAUCCUGGUCGGACAUCAGGAGGUUAGUGCAAUGGCAUAAGCCAGCUUGACUGCGAGCGUGACGGCGCGAGCAGGUGCGAAAGCAGGUCAUAGUGAUCCGGUGGUUCUGAAUGGAAGGGCCAUCGCUCAACGGAUAAAAGGUACUCCGGGGAUAACAGGCUGAUACCGCCCAAGAGUUCAUAUCGACGGCGGUGUUUGGCACCUCGAUGUCGGCUCAUCACAUCCUGGGGCUGAAGUAGGUCCCAAGGGUAUGGCUGUUCGCCAUUUAAAGUGGUACGCGAGCUGGGUUUAGAACGUCGUGAGACAGUUCGGUCCCUAUCUGCCGUGGGCGCUGGAGAACUGAGGGGGGCUGCUCCUAGUACGAGAGGACCGGAGUGGACGCAUCACUGGUGUUCGGGUUGUCAUGCCAAUGGCACUGCCCGGUAGCUAAAUGCGGAAGAGAUAAGUGCUGAAAGCAUCUAAGCACGAAACUUGCCCCGAGAUGAGUUCUCCCUGACUCCUUGAGAGUCCUGAAGGAACGUUGAAGACGACGACGUUGAUAGGCCGGGUGUGUAAGCGCAGCGAUGCGUUGAGCUAACCGGUACUAAUGAACCGUGAGGCUUAACCUU
rnacentral:rRNA from 1 species